GCAAAAAGAAGACCGCCACGAUCCGGCUUGCCGGAUUCGGGGCAAGGGUGAAAGGGUGGGGUAAGAGCCCACCGCGCGACUGGCAACAGGAGCGGCACGGUAAACCCCACCGGGAGCAAGACCGAAUAGGGACGGUGCGAGGGGAAACCCUCGAGGGCUGUUUCCGGCUCACCGUCCGGGUAGGUUGCGUGAGGCGCAUGGCAACAUGCGCCCAAGAUGAAUGGCCGCCACGUUCUCGCCUCGCAAGGGACGAGGGCCAUACAGAACCCGGCUUACAGGCCAGCUGGCAAU
rnacentral:RNase_P_RNA from 1 species